AAGGCCCCUUACAGCGAAGCGCCCAGAGUCCGGAGCUGACCUCGCAGGGGCGCGCUCAGCAAAGCUGGAGCCCGAGACCUGUGGAGCUGUUGGCUCUGCAGUGCUGCAGAGGACGAGCCGGCAGGUCUCGGGACAGGUUCACUGACACUUCCCCCAGUCGCGGGACGGCAGGGCUGGGCGACCCCGGGGAGUCCGUCCCCCGUCACGCGGGGCUGUCAGCGGGCAGGAGGCCACGCCCACGGUCAACCAAUGGUUCGAGGCCUCAGACCCCAAAACCCGGUAGGCCAGUCACUACCGCGGGCGAGGCUGUUGGAACUGCUGGCCCCGGCGACGAGGAGAGCUUCGCCGUUCGGGCCUGCGAGCGGGCCGCACCGCUACGUCGGAGCCAAAGGUUCACUCACAUACGGGAUUCGGUCCCCUCAGCCUCCGCUGCAGGUCCGGCUCCGGUUUUAGCUCCGGCUCCGGUUCCGGUUCCGGAGGCUCUGCUCAGUUGGGCUCUGCUCGACUAGGCGCAGCUCUCUCACAGCGGCUCUCCACAGCUCAACCGAACUCUGGGCCCCGCCCUCCUGAUACGAACCAAUUGGCUAGCGGCGCUGAGUCAACGCUGGAAUUCUAUUGGCCAAGGCGGACGACAGUAGGCGGGGUGGAGCCCCUCCUAGCCAGUCAGUGUGAGGUGUAUGCAGUUUUGUCCCACCUCCUCCCUUUUCACGUCAGAGAGGUUUCUCCCCCCUUCCCAUCCCCUCCGCACUCCAGUCAAAGAAGUAAGUCUUUCUGUCUGGUCUGUCCGGACCGGUGGCCUGCCCCUCCCCCCGCUCCGCCCCGUAUGCUCCUCCCUCUCCCCGCCUCUCUCCGAGUGUCAGCUGGUCUCGGAUUCCUCUGCAGGAAGACUGUUUACUUCCUUCGGUGGGGCUAGGUGGCCUGAGAGGCAGACAAAAGAAAUUAGACACAGCCAAUAAGACCGCGUGAUAUACAGGAAGCAUUAGAUUUGGAGUACUAGGUUUUAAAUUCGAAUCCCGUCGCGGCUUCUUAACGUCUUGGUACCUCAAUUUCCUCACUCGUAAAAUGAGGUAAUUGAACCUGACGAUAUCCUAGGUUCUCUUAAAAGCUUUUACUCCUAUGGCAAGGAAGCUCUUGAGGGUUUUACCGUCUGUUUAGGAAAAGAGGAAAUUAUAAUAAAUGUCCUGAAGGCACACAUUUCUUCACUUUUGUAUCCAUGUCAUUUAGCUCAGGGCUUGGUACAUAACCGGCGCUUAAUGUUGCUUGAUUAGUAAACGCAAGAUAAAGACUGAUAAACUGCAGGACUAAUAGGAGAUGCCUACAAACCAGCUUGUAAUAGACAAUAUCUGAAAAGAAGUGCAAAGGAAUAAUGCUUUUUUGCAUAACAUUCAAAGCAUUUUUAUGUGUGUUAUUUCACAUUUAGAGAUUCCACAAUCUCAAAAAAAAAAAUGACUUAAGGCAUAGAAAGUUUACAGUAUUUAUCCAGGGACACAAAGCCAAUUAGACAAAACCAAGACAGGAUUUGGCUAGUAUGCAGGCAAUGUAUGUGAGGAGGAAAGAAAAUGUACGGAGAGGAAUGGUAUGAUCAGCUCUAGCAAGCUAUCCUCCUAGGAUAUCAGGCAUGAUUAGUAAAGGAACAUCGAUAAUAGUGUUAACUUGGAAAUAACACAGAAUUAUCAAAUAGUCAGGAAACCCAAGUCUUUAAUCAGGAUAGGGAUAUGUCCAAUAUUGGGUCUUUUACUCAAGAGUCCGGUGCCACAACUUUUUCAGGGUAUAAACCCUGGACUCUGGGGAUGUUAUCCCUGGGAGUACCAUAACGCUAGAUGACUACUCCGAGGAACAAAAGAAUUUUGGGAACCUUCGGGAAAUCCAGAGGCAGGGAAAGAUGAUUGACAUCACUAUAACUACAAAGAAAAUGGGAGUGUUCAAACUACACUGACAGGAUACAAUCAAGCUUGGGAAAGGAAUAACUAGAGGCUAGGGUGUAAGAGAAGGGGAUACUUACAAUGGAUAAUAAAGGAUGGUUCCUGCCCAGGUGUGGACCUUCUUGGGAAAGGGUCUCUGAUACAAUAGAGGAGAGUACCUAAGACAAAGAGGGUUCUAAACAUAUGCUUAGUCUCACCCAACUGGGAUUGUCAUUCCCCUGAGGGUCUCCCACUCAGUCUGAAACUGCUAGCCUGAGAUACCCUUCAGGGUAGAUUCCCAGAGGAACAGGGAACUAGUACAAACUUUGGGGUCUCCAACCUAUAAGCUAGUCCUGAAACUUGGGGUUCAUCAGAUCCCACUAGGCCACAAGUUUGGGAUUCCUAAAUUCCAUGUUGACAAUAGUAAUAACAGUUUCAAAAAACUGAUAUUCUACUACUCCUUAAUACACUAGAGUUUCAGUGACCAAAUCCAGACUACAGAGGAAAUACAAAAAGAUGGAAGCCUUCUGGCAAAAAAAGUGGGAAAUAGUUAAAAAAGAAAACAACAGUUUAAAGGACAGGAACUCCCUAUUGGAGAAACAGCUGGAAGCCACUAAAAGCAGAAUAGACCAAACCAAAAAGGAAAAUCAAAAGAUUAUAGUGGAAAACCAGUCCUUAAAGACCAGAAUUAGGCAAUUGGAAGCCAAUGAUCUUGCAAAACAACAAGAAUUAAUGAAGAAGAACUGAGGCAAGAAACUCCCAGCCCAAUAACUGAAAUAUGGAAAGCAAAAUAGGUAGGGAGGGUCAUGAGAUAAACUACUUGACUAAUUAAUGUUUAGUCUGUUCAAAUGUCAUCAAUUUCUAUCCUUCCCCAUAAACUUUACAGGAUAAAACCCAUGUUAUAACU